CUGUGCUUUAUUGGAAGGAGAAAAAUAAUCAUUUCCUUAAGAACAAUUUAAACAAUUUAUUUAACUAAAACAAUAACAUUAUAGCAUAUGUAUCCAUGCUUGUUAACCGAUGUGGUUAAACUUUUUUUUUUUUUUUUUAACUUACACUGUGUUUUAGUACAUAUGAAAAACUUAGAACAAAUCCUUAUUUGCUGAUGAAUAGCCUUUGGACUAUAAUGUAAAUUAAAUAGAAAACUAUAUUUAGAAAGAUUUUUCCUCCAAAAGCAUUUUAUUUUAAAAAAUCCAAUUUAAAUUUUAAAAAAUCCAAUUUAAAUUUUAAAAAAUCCAAUUUAAAUUUUAAAAAAUCCAAUUUAAAUUUUAAAAAAUCUGAUUCAUUAUUAUUUUUAUUUUUAAAAUCAUUGAUUUUUAUCCACCCUGCCCCCAACUACAUUCGGCUGCUGAAAUGAAACAAAGUUAGGAGCAGGCCUUUGUGCGAAAGGUCUGUGGUCUCAGUUCAGUACCGGUGCUGAAAAGAAAUUCCUACGCUCUAAAUGUGCUCCCUCAUUUUUGCACUCGGCUCUGGUUAGCAGAGCUAAACAAUACUGGGCAAAAUGGACGAAUACCCUGGCAUGCCAGCUACUUCCUUCCUUUCCCUCUCUCAUCUCAUCAGAAAGGACGAGCACAUAAGCUGGGAACAAACCCUGUCCCUGUCGGCUUGCUGUUCCUUUAAAGCACUUUUCUCCCAGCCCAGCUCCAAUAACUUAAAGGAGUCAAGGUGAAGAAAAUGUUUUUGAAGCAAUGGAAUGCAGCCAGGUAAGGUGAGAGCAGGUAGGAAGGGAGCUGAGCUUAGCUUCCCGUAUCUUUGGUGUGUUUAAAAAGGGAGCGACUGCCUAAUAUCUGUAUUUCAUUUUCCUCCGUUCUCAUGAUUAACAUUUUUUCUCCUUUAGAUGUUAUCCUCCUUUCACCUACCUGUUUAAUGUAUGUGAUGGAGUGGAGUCCAGACUAUGAAAGUUUAUGCUGUAGCAAUGCGUUAGCCUUUAAGGUGCUUUUAAAAAUAAUAACUUUAAAAAAAGAAGUGUUCACUGUAGAUGGGGAAUAAAUCCAUAGUAGGAUUCCUUCAUGUAGCUCACUGCAGCUGAGGAAUUUUCUUGUGCAAUAAUUUUUAUUAGUUUUCAAUUACAGUGGUACCUCAGGUUACAUACGCUUCAGGUUACAUACGCUUCAGGUUACAGACUCCAUUAACCAGAAAUAGUGCUUCAGGUUAAGAACUUUGCUUCAGGAUGAGAACAGAAAUCGUGCUCUGGCGGCGUGGCGGCAGCAGGAGGCCCCAUUAGCUAAAGUGGUGCUUCAGGUUAAGGACAGUUUCAGGUUAUGAACGGACCUCCAGAAUGAAUUAAGUACUUAACCUGAGGUACCACUGUACAAUAACCCAAUAAAAGCCUCAUUGUCACAAUACCAAAUUAUAAUACAAUCAGUAGUGCCAAUUGUUCAGAUGCCAAAUUAUAUUAUUUUGUUGUCGUCGUCACCCCGCAUGCUAGAAUUGAUGGUUUGAUAAUUUACUUUAACUCUGCAUUCCAGAAACUUAUAAAUUCCAGUUACACACCAGUCAAAAUAACCAGCUGAGGAAUUUUCAAGACAUGCUUGAACUUUCCGAAAUGGGAGCGAGGGAAGAGUUAAACUGUGCUGUCCUGAAUUUACACGGAGGGUUUGCUCCCGUGGUUUGGGGGAAAUUUGAGAAAGUGCAUACAUAUCCUUCUGAUUGUAGUGUGUCUCCAGUUUGAAUCCAGGAAGAAAAAAAAAUGUGGAUGUGAUGAUGAUGAUAAUAAUAAUAAUAAUAAUAAUAAUAAUAGGAAAAUACUGGAGACUGAGUUACCUCAGUAAGGAUAACCCGUAAAGCAGGGGUCAGCAACCUUUUUCAGCCGUGGGCUGGUCCACUCUCCCUCAGACCUUGUGAGGGGCUGGACUAUAUUUUUUUGGGGGGGGGGAUGAACGAAUUCCUAUGCCCCACAAAUAACCCAGGGAUGCAUUUUAAAUAAAAGCACACAUUCUACUCAUGUAAAAACACCAGGCAGGCCCCACAAAUAACCCAGAGAUGCAUUUUAAAUAAAAGGACACAUUCUACUCAUGUAAAAACACGCUGAUUCCCGGACCGUCCGUGGACCGGAUUGAGAAGGCAAUUGGGCCGCAUCCAGCCCAUGGGCCUUAGGUUGCCUACCCCUGCUGUAAAGGGAUCUGGGGUGUGGAUCCUGUCCGAAGCCUGGACGUGGGCUAGGGCCAUGUCACAGCCCCUACAGGGACCCCUCAGGGUGCCACUAUCUGAUGUAAGUCAUAGGGCGCCCCCUAUCAGUGGUUUGCCCUUAAGUGGACUCCCUGCAGAUGGGCAGGAGUCAAGACAUAGACUGGCUUCACCCCAAUGCCUAAGCCAAACCGCUCACAUCUGUAACCCAUAAAGUUGUGGCCUGCUUGAACCCAUAAACCAAAAUCCUUCGUGUUGGUGUGUUUUAUUGUUCUGCUGGGAACUUUGUGGCUAGGGUGCCUUGGCACACAAUUCUUUGAGGGGAAUGAAUGUGCUCCAAAUGAGCUUGAAGGGUAGAGUGUAUGUACACAAUCUGUUUUGUCCGAACUGGGUAUCCACUCUCCUCUGUUCCUACAGAAGAGAAAACCAUGUCUGACUCACUAAUGCUCACAUGCAGCUAAAUUCUCUGUUGGCAUGCAGGGGAUCGGACAUCUACUGCAGUUUCAGUGUUUCAGUACAGCCCUCCCCCCCUCGAGGUAGAUGCAUUGUUAUGUACUGAGCUGAAUCCUAGAACAGUAGGAUCCAGCAUGCAGCAGUCUGAUUGGUCCGCAGGAGCCACCCAAUCCAGCUCCAGGUGGAAGUGAAUCAGCGACCUGAUUGGCCUGCAGGAGCAGCCAAUCAGGCUCCUGGAUGAAGUGAAUCAGCGACCUGAUUGGCCUGCAGGAGCAGCCAAUCAGGCUCCUGGAUGAAGUGAAUCAGCAACCUGAUUGGCCUGCAGGAGCAGCCCGGAAUUAGACAGUCACGUGGGGCCCAUUGUGUGAAUAAUGUAUAUAUAACUAGACGUUUUGGGAAAAGUUUGAUUCAUUGCUCCUACGAGCUGAAUAAAGAGCAUGAAAUUC
rnacentral:lncRNA from 1 species